rnacentral:rRNA from 1 species
CCGACACAGGUGGGCAGGAUAGAAAAUUCUAAGGCGCUUGAGAGAACUCAGGAGAAGGAACUCGGACAAAUUAACACCGUAACUUCGGGAGAAGGUGUCGCCCCGGUAGGUUGUAGAGCCUCGCGCUCGAAGGCCGAUGGGGUUGCAGUGAAAUGGUGGCUGCGACUGUUUAAUAAAAACACAGCACUCUGCAAACACGAAAGUGGACGUAUAGGGUGUGACGCCUGCCCGGUGCCGGAAGGUUAAUUGAUGGGGUGCAAGCUCUUGAUCGAAGCCCCGGUAAACGGCGGCCGUAACGAUAACGGUCCUAAGGUAGCGAAAUUCCUUGUCGGGUAAGUUCCGACCUGCACGAAUGGCGUAACGAUGGCCACACUGUCUCCUCCUGAGACUCAGCGAAGUUGAAAUGUUUGUGAAGAUG